rnacentral:lncRNA from 1 species
CUUCUUUUGGCCUACACAGUGUAAACCUUAAAAUUUCUUAGACUUAUAAAUGUUGGAAAUUUCACCAUUGGGAAAUUUCAUACUUGAAAAAUUUCCUAUUGAGAGUGGGAACUCUAUUGGAAUGUGAACCCCAUUGGCAUGGGAGGUUCCUCCUCCUCCCUUCUUAAGAUUACUUUAGGACAAAAACCUUUUGCUGAACAAUUGAAAGGGCUUUGACCUAUGCUUAAGCAUAGAACAGGAAUUUCUUUGAGUCAUGAUUGAUUUUAGAAUUGAUACAAUAGAGAUACUUGGAAUGACAGAACCAGGUCUUGGAAAAUACAAUUUCCACCCCUCUCAGUCCUAACAGGAUUUAGGAAGGGCUGCAGCAAAGGAUCAAGAUUUAAUUAUUUGAGAAUAUGACCUUCAACAGACAUGUGCAAAGCCACAGACCUCUGGGCGGUCCUGGGUUAAGCUAGAGCCACCAUUGGCACAGGGAAGACAUGGACAGUGAUUGGUAGAUGUGAGAACUGAGGGGAGGGAACUUGGAUGGUUUCCUUAAAGAUAGAGGGGUCUGAGGACUGGGGGGGGGUUGGUUGGAGAGGUUUUGGCUCUGAGAGGUGGUGCUUUGAGGGUUGGCUCUGAAGGAAGCUGGAGGUGGAGGCCCCUGAGACUGUUUCUCCAUUUUGGUCACGUGAGUGAUAGGGACUGAUCUCUUUUCUUUGCCCCAGCUAUCUAAGGCCUUGGGCCUUUUGGCCCAGCCUAAACAGACGGGGUAUUUAAGCCCUAUUCCCUUCUCUCCCUCUCUCUCUCUCUCUUUCUCUCUUUCUCUCUUUCUCUCUUUUCUUUCUUUCUUUCUUUCUUUCUUUCUUUCUUUCUUUCUUUCUUUCUUUCUUUCUUUCUUUCUUUCUUUCUUUCUUUCUUUCUUUCUUUCUUUCCUCUUUCUUUCUUUCUUUCUUCUUUCUUUCUUUCCUCUUUCUUUCUUUCUUUCUUCUUUCUUUCUUUCUUUCUUUCUUUCUUUCUUUCUUUCUUUCUUUCUUUCUUUCUUUCUUUCUUUCUUUCUUUCUUUCUUUCUUUCUUUCUUUCUUUCUUUCUUUCUUUCUUUCUUUCUUUCUUUCUUUCAUCAAGAUGCUAUUUUCUUUAUCCCGCUGAAAUCUUUCAUGCUUUCUUUAAUAAAACUGUCCAAAUAUUUCUGAAUAGCU